rnacentral:lncRNA from 1 species
CAGUUUUGUAGUUCUGGAUUCCUUGACUUAUAGGUCCAAAACAAAGAUAUGAUAAUGAGGCUUGAAUAAGCAGAUAUUCCCCCAAAUACUGCAAAUUCCCAAACUCUUCAAAUCAGAGUAAAUGUGCAUGCACAAUUAUAUGCAUGCCUGAGCUGAAAUGUGUUUCUCAGAAGUAUCCCUUAUAAAAAUAUCCUCCAUGUUUCAUGGUGAGAAAUUAUUCUCUUAAAGCAUGCCUCACUGGGCUGUCCCCCCACAUUCACCUCUCUUCCUGCUGCCCAGACAUGCUGUGGUGUGUGUUGAGGGUUUGCUGCACUUUGCAUCUCUGAUUCCUCCCUGACUCCCACGUGCUGUGGGACGGCAGGACCUGCACGCAGCAUCCCUCCCAAGAUGCUCUGCUGCUUUCACAGUUCUGGCCACUUUGUUUCUCCUUCUGGCUUUCUUGUAUUCAGGACAAGCCUCCUGAAACAGCAAGGCAAUCUCUCCCCCUUGAGGGCUCUCUGGACACCUGGCCAUUCCCCUGGCUUCAACAAUAGCAACAUCGUCCCUGCAGAGCAGACCCCACUGCUGCUGCCCUGAGCCCUCUGAUAGCUCCUGGUUGAGGGCAGGCUGCGGGCUGUGUGGCAGAGCUGCCAAGCACAGCUUGCGCAGAGCCCUGCCAGCUGCAGACGGAGCCAGCAUUCCUCAACUGGCAGCCCCUUGGCCCGAUGAAAAGCCCCGAUUCAGCUGCUGAGUACCUGACACCUUCCCCAGCACAAAGAGGGCUUUCUACAUCCUGCACGCGGCUGCUGCUGGGGAAGCGGUGGGCACAGUGAGCCUCCUCUCCCCAGGAGAGGUCACAAAACCCACAUCCUGCACACACCCCGAACAAAACUUGCUUGUAUGGGGGGCAGCCGAGAACAUGGCCCAGGGCAGGUGGCUGCCAGCAGGGCGUGUGGCUCCAGGUCUGCCAGCUGCUGGCUCCUGCGGGCCUUGCUCACGUCACCAGGAUGGCAAGGCCCGGCCUGCAAGGAGAGUCGAAGUUGGAAGUGGUCCACAAAAGCUGCCUAACCCGCCAGUGCCUAAAUGCAGGCCACAGUGUGUGACACAGACCCUGCAGACAUAAAUUACUCUGCUCAGAGAUCCUGCAUCAUUUCUGCUUUUCAUCCAGGGACUGUCAAAUGCAACGUACAUAAACCAUCCAGGAGGAGAGGACCAGAUCUCAGGGCUCCCUUGUGCAGCUGAGAGCCAA